ensembl:lncRNA
CUCAGCUGACGGGCAGGGCAGGCUCCUUAUCCCGGGCGCAGGAAGGAGACCACAGGAAAGGCUGAGGAACAGAGGAAUGGACAGAACAUGAGAGGGGCAGAUGGGACUGGAGGGCCCAUCCUCACGUCUGCGUCCACUCCAGCCACUGCGUGUUGUUUGGCCAGGGUCAGGGUCUGUAGUGGCUCCAGACCAGCCGCACAGGGUGUGCAGCUGUGUGAGACUCCACUUCCGAGAAUGACCCAGCAAGAGGAAGUGGGGUUGGCAGAGAGCCUUCCGCCUGUGCUGGAGAAGAGAGACGCCUCACCUGCCCCAGAGCGCCACCCACCCUGAGAGACAGCCAGGACAGCAGGCGCUGGGCCCACGGGGCUCCUCUGCGAAGCCCGAGGCGAGAAGAAAGACAGCAGGGAAAGGUCAGCUGUGCUCCUGGGACUGGAAUGUGGAUGCCGGGGGAGCUCUGGCCUGAGCAGCCCUUGCCCCAUUGAAAGCCACGGGAUGAGACCCAGAGGCCAGUGUGGCCAGAGAUGGGAGGGACAUUAGAAUCCGCGCUCCUGCCGACACAGCUUGCCCUUGCCCAGCGGAAGAGACAGGCUGGACCAGGACAGCCAGUCUGCAAGGCAGCGACUACAAAUGCACGGCCAGAGGUUCCUGGAAGACCACGUGGAGGAAGAGGCCACAGCUGCCAACAGAGGGGGCCAGCGCCUCAGUGUGACAACACCAGGGUGGGCCUUCCAGCUUGGAAGCACAAGUCCACGCCACUCCUGGGAGUGUGUCUGUGUAACAGGGCCCAGGCCCCUCUGCUGGUUUCCAACCUGCAGUGCUCUCUGAGCAGACUCUGUGAUUUGCGGUGCAGGCCACCCAGGGACUUUAAUCUUCACCGUGACAAAU